GUAAGUCAGGCAACGAGCGAGACCCACGUCCACAGUUGCCAGCAUACCCUACCGGGGUGGAAUGGGGUACACGUGUGGAGACCGCCGCUGCUAAAGCGGAGGAAGGAAUGGGCAACGGUAGGUCAGUAUGCCCCGAAUCUCCCGGGCUACACGCGGGCUACAAUGGUUGGUACAAUGGGCAUCUACCCCGAAAGGGGAAGGAAAUCUCUUAAAGCCAAUCGUAGUUCGGAUUGAGGGCUGCAACUCGCCCUCAUGAAGCUGGAAUCCGUAGUAAUCGCGUUUCAACAGAACGCGGUGAAUACGUCCCUGCCUCCUU
rnacentral:rRNA from 1 species